rnacentral:rRNA from 1 species
GACGAACGCUGGCGGCGUGCUUAACACAUGCAAGUCGAACGGAAAGGCCCUGCUUUUGUGGGGUGCUCGAGUGGCGAACGGGUGAGUAACACGUGAGUAACCUGCCCUUGACUUUGGGAUAACUUCAGGAAACUGGGGCUAAUACCGGAUAGGAGCUCCUGCUGCAUGGUGGGGGUUGGAAAGUCUCGGCGGUCGGGGAUGGACUGGCGGCUUAUCAGCUUGUUGGUGGGGUAGUGGCUGACCAAGGAUUUGACCGAUAGCCGGCCUGGGAGGGGGACCGGCGACAUUGGGACUAAGAGACGGCGCAGACGGCUACGGGAGGCAGCAGGGGGGAAUAUGGCACAAUGGGCGGAAGCCUGUGGCGGCAACGCCGCGUGCGGGAUGACGGCCUGCGGGUUGUAAACCGCUUUCGCCUGUGACGAAGCGUUAGUGACGGUAAUGGGUAAAGAAGCACCGGCUAACUACGUG